UUAUUAUUAUAAAAUCCUGUUCUGCUUCUUGAAGCCUUUGCCAACAUCAGAAACUGCAGAAACUGGCUGCUGGAUUGAUCCCAAAAGGAGAUAUCUAUUUGUGCGCUGAAGAACAUAGCUGCUAGAUUGAUUCUGCCAGAAGGUAAAAGUGGAGUGAAAAAUACGAGAAAUCUCGGGACAUUGAUGCUGUGGCAAAAACUGAUGUUGUUGUGAAAUUAUUUUGUGGCAAAAGCCCAGAAUUGAUACUUCAGACUCUGAAGAGGCUUUACUUUCGCUGGGAAUAAAAGCAGUCCCAAAGGCAGCCAUUUUACACAGGGAAAUGGAAUACAUAUUAAGUACAGCUUGGCUGGACAUAGUAUCCAAUUAAAGCACAUGAUUAAGUGGUGUUUUAAAGGGGUGUUUUCUCACCACAUCACCCAGCCAAACUGUGCUUGAAUCUGCAAUCCAGUGAUCUGCUUUGAACAUAUCUUAAGAAACUGGAAAACUCAGUGUAACUAGAGCUGAGUAGCAUUUAUUGUGAGAUCUGUGGAUCCUCCUGGGAGAAGGAAAAGAUGGGUUUCUCUGAAACUAAAACGACAGAGCGAAGUCUCCCCAUGAAUCCAGCAGUAGCACAGAAUGCUGGAAGUAAUGAAAUCACAAAUAAUGGAAGCACCCAACAAGCGAGAGAAGUCAUUCCUCCGAAACAGUGCUGCUGUCUAAAUGGUUUGUGCAAUAAUGGAAAAUCGGAGACGCGUUUUUAAUAUAAAAAUUUUGAGCUUGGCGCUUAUUGUCAUUCUGAUCAUUUCCAUCAUCAUCACGGGCAGCAUUCGUUUAUCAAGUAAGUGAGGAGCCAUUUUGCUGUAACUUCUGCCAGCUUCUCUACAGGCCACCUGUUCUCAAAAAUCUCUCCUCAGCAGCUAGAAUAGCUUUAUUGUUAUUCAGUUGAGGUAGUCUGGAAGCAGUUGCGGAUGGGGGCCCACAUUCAGUUAAUGUAUGUUUACUGUAAUCUUUGUUUACUGUAAUAAUAGACUAAUAUGCACACAGAGAUGCUUAAAUUUCAAAUGAUAUAAACAGCCUUCUGCAAUCUGGUGCCCUUAUUGCAAGAGCAGCUGGUGGG